CAGAGCGGUUAAAAGAUCUGUCCUGGUUUCUGUUCAUAUUUACACUACCAUUCAAAAGUCUGGGGCUGGUAAAAUCUUUUUGAAAAACGUC